GCCAGAGUGGUAUAGUAAUUUGAGCAUUGGACUACAAUUCUGGAGAUCAGGGUUCAAUUCCCUGCUCAGCCA